rnacentral:rRNA from 1 species
UACGAAGGUGGCAAGCGUUGUUCGGAUUCAUUGGGCGUAAAGGGUGCGUAGGUGGCGCUGUAAGUCGGGUGUGAAAUUUCGGAGCUUAACUCCGAAACUGCAUUCGAUACUGCGGUGCUUGAGGACUGGAGAGGAGACUGGAAUUCAUGGUGUAGCAGUGAAAUGCGUAGAGAUCAUGAGGAAGACCAGUGGCGAAGGCGGGUCUCUGGACAGUUCCUGACACUGAGGCACGAAGGCCAGGGGAGCAAACGGG